rnacentral:lncRNA from 1 species
GGAGUUUAUGUCAAACCAGGAAAAAGCUGUUAUUAAAACGGUUGUUUGCAGCUUCAGUUUGGCCCCAACAGACUUUUGCAUUCAGCGGCUGUAUCAAAAGGGUCAGGCCUUCAUGAUUGUUCUACACAUCAAACAGCAUCAGAUCACAGUCAGGAGGAACCAUCAAACCCAGAUAGCUGCAAAUCCAAGAGUAAAAACAAUUCUUGUUUUAUGUCGGCAUCCAAGAGAAACAGACCUGUCAGUGUGCCAGUGGGUCAGCCGAGAGCAUCAGAGUCCUCUCUAAAUCUGAAGUCACCCCACAAUUGCCAAGUGGGAUAUAAAUUUCAACGAAGAGUCAUUAGAGUGACGGCUUACAAAAAUGGAUCUGGAACAACCUUCGCCAAAAUUACUGCACCAACCAUCGCCUUGUUGCUGGAAGCGUGCACACACAAGCUGAAUCUGAACAUGGCCGCACGACGAGUGUUCUUGGCAGACGGCUCAGAAGCCUUCAAACCUGAAGAUAUACCCCAUGAAGCCAAUGUUUAUAUUUCAACAGGAGAGCCCUUUUUAGAUCCAUUCAAAAAACUUAAAGACCAUCUGCUGUUAACGAAGAAAGUGACUUGGACAAUGCAUGGGUUGAUGCUUCCCACUGAUGUCAAAAGACAGAAAACUAAGCCGGCACUUUCCCGAAGGAUGAAGACACUUGCUCAGAAGACUGCAGUACGAAUUCUAGUCUUUAAGAAUGGCAUGGGGCAGGAUGGGCAUGAGAUUACAGUGGGAAAGGAAACAAUGAGGAAGGUUUUAGAUGUCUGCACAAUGAAAAUGAAUCUAGAUUCACCUGCCAGAUAUAUUUAUGAUAUGAGUGGUAGAAAAGUUGAAGAUAUUUCAAAAGUUCCUGUGCUUGAAAAAUGCCUGCAAGAUUCCAUCACACCUUUGCGGGGACCACUUUGGGUCUCUAAGGGAGAAGGUUUCAGUCCCUCGGGUGCUAAGAUGUACAUCCAAGGAGUUCUUGGGGCCUUAUAUCCACGACUAAAGUCUGCAAAAAAUUAUUACAAGCAGUUGGACUUAGUCCUGAAUGAACAGAAAGCCAAGAUCACAGCAAAGGCCAUUCUUUCCAUGACACCAGAGGAAUACCAGAAGUCACGAGAAGAUGUGAGCAUGCUGAUUGAUGAAUUGCAGACAGCCAUCAAAAGCAACAAAGGUCAUCUCGCUAAGCUUGGCCCCCAAUUACAGACUGAGCAGGAGCAGUUCUCCUCUUAUGUCUGCCAACACAUUAAGAGCCUUCCAGCAAACACCAUGGUCCCAGGAGGCCUGCAUCUCAAGGUAUUUGAAAAUGGUAAAGACACUGGAGAGAUCUCUGUUUACAUCAGUAGAAAAGACUUAAAGUGUGAUAGCCCAGCCCAAGGUGACGAAACAAUGCAAAGAUUACUUCUCAGAAUCCAUCAACAGCUUCAAGGUUCCUCCAUCAAGUCACAAGGCCUCCGCUUGUCUUCAGCCCGGAUUUUCGAUGAGCAUGGUCAAGAGAUUAAGAGUCCACUGCAGCUGAAGAAUGGGCAAAAAAUUGGGCUUUCAUAUGGGAAAGCAUACAGAUCUCCACUAAGCCCUGUUUUGGCUCUAACCUUUGACCGAGUAGCUGCUUUUGCCAGAGAUGGCACCAUGGCUGUCUAUAAGACCUUUAUGGAUGAUGCUGCCCUGCUAUUUGGAUGUGAUGAUUGGGAAGUUUGUGAGGGAUUUCCAGUGAACACUGAGUGCAGCAGUCAACAGAUCCCUGAUUUCCUUGGAAAGGUGACCUGGGAGAGUCAUUUCCUACAGAACAAGGUUAGAGCAC